rnacentral:rRNA from 1 species
AAAAGAGUUAAGCACAGGGACACAUUUGAAGUCUCAGAGCCGGGUGUUGGUUCCGGUAGAGAUCGAGGGAAGUUAGUACCGAAGUCUGAGAUGGAAGAUGGCGAGAAGAGCUGUGUGUAUUUCUGAGGUGCCCGUACCGCAAACCGACACAGGUAGGUAGGAAGAAGAUUCUAAGGCCAACGGGAGAAGGGUUGUUAAGGAACUCGGCAAAUUGACCCCGUAACUUCGGGAGAAGGGGUGCUCCAGAGAUGGAGCCGCAGAGAAUCGGCCCAAGCAACUGUUUACCAAAAACACAGGUUUGUGCUAAAUCGAAAGAUGACGUAUACGAGCUGACGCCUGCCCGGUGCUGGAAGGUUAAGAGGAGAUGUGCAAGCAUUGAGUCGAAGCCCCAGUGAACGGCGGCCGUAACAAUAACGGUCCUAAGGUAGCGAAAUUCCUUGUCAGGUAAGUUCUGACCCGCAUGAAAGGCGUAAUGAUUUGGGCACUGUCUCAACAGCCCGCCCGGCGAAAUUGUAGUACCGGUGAAGAUGCCGGUUACCCGCGACAAGACGGAAAGACCCCAUGGAGCUUUACUGUAGCCUAAUAUUGGGUUUCGAUGUUGCAUGCACAGGAUAGAUGGGACACAGGGAAACAAUCGCUUUGGCGGUUGCGGAGUGGCCGUUGGGAUACCAUCCUUGCGAUAUUGGAAUUCUAACCUGCGGCUCUGAAUCGAGUCGGGGGACAUUGUUAGGUGGGCAGUUUGACUGGGGCGGUCGCCUCCUAAAAAGUAACGGAGGCGUUCAAAGGUUUGCUCAGCUUGAACGGAAAUCAAGCAAAAGAGUGCAAACGCAGAAGCGAGCCUAACUGCGAGACUGACGGGUCGAGCAGUAACGAAAGUUGGAGUUAGUGAUCCGGUGGUAUGUGAGUGGAAAUGCCAUCGCUCAACGGAUAAAAGUUACCCUGGGGAUAACAGGCUGAUCUCCCCCAAGAGUCCACAUCGACGGGGAGGUUUGGCACCUCGAUGUCGGCUCAUCGCAUCCUGGGGCUGUAUUCGGUCCCAAGGGUUUGGCUGUUCGCCAAUUAAAGCGGUACGCGAGCUGGGUUCAGAACGUCGUGAGACAGUUCGGUCCCUAUCUGUCGUGGGCGCAGGAUAUUUGAUGGGAGCUGUCCCUAGUACGAGAGGACCGGGACGGACGUACCUCUGGCGCACCAGUUGUUCCGCCAGGAGCAUAGCUGGGCAACUACGUACGGAUCGGAUAAACGCUGAAAGCAUCUAAGCGUGAAGCCGACCCAAAGAUAAGAUAUCCCACUGAUUAGAUCAGGUAAGAUCCCUUGAAGACUACAAGGUUGAUAGGCACGAUGUGUAAGUGGAGUGAUCCAUUCAGCAAGAGUGUACUAAUAGAUCGAGGGCUUGAUC